UUUCCCUUCAAAAUACGAAUAAAUUUUUCGCCUUUUACUAAAGAUUUCCGUGCACCCAGAGAAAUGGUAUAUUUGUUUUGUCUCAGAACCAACUAGAC